GAUAUACGUCUCAGGAUACAGGAAAUACGGAAAGAGCAAAACCAGGAGGAAGCUCUGUGCCUGGAGGGGACCCGCCGCCAUCUCAGGUCUCUUGGCCUCAUCAGGGCCCACCGGAAAGAGCUGACGCCCGGGUCCUGUAAUCCUUAUGGGGGACCAACCUUGUGCCUCCGGGAGAUCCACACUCCCACCUGGAAACACGCGGGAAACCAAGCCGCCAAAAAAGCGCUGUCUUUUAGCUCCACGGUGGGAUUAUCCAGAAGGAACUCCUAACGGAGGUAGUACCCCUCUCCCUUCCGCACCUACUCCUGCAUCACCGAGCCUGAAGUCGCACCCACCUCCUCCGGAGAAGUAGUACAACACACUUCUCCCACCCCAAACCAGGAAGCACAGAGGAUGAACCAAGUCAUUCUGCCUGGUAGUAAUCAUGAUCCAUCAAAGAGGAAGGGGUAACUUUGGGUGGGCCUUAAAAAUCUUUGAGGGAUUGCAGUAUGACUCUAUUUCCUUGGUAUAUGUGCUGCCGAAGCAAGCACCUGACUCUAUUUCCUUAGUGCAUUCAUAAAAUAGUUCACUCAGUGAAGACAAUGAAGAUUAUUGACAAUGCUACCCUGCUUUUUCUGAUGUUCUACACCAGGAAGUUGUGAUUUUUAAGAUCUUUCAAUUAUUGAGAAAGAUUUAAAAUCUCCCAGUGAUGGAGUUCAUGCUGUGGUGCAGUGGGAUUGGCGGCCUCUCUGGAGCAGCACUGGGAUGCAGAAAAUAUUCUGCCAAAAUAAGUGAAUGCAUUGAUGUACUUCUUAAUUUAUCAGCAGGAUUUAUAAUUAGAAUUAGGGUUAAGCUUUAUAUCUCCAAAUGUUAUUUUCUUCACUAAUUUUUUAUCUUAUGAAAUGUCAACUCUUCAGGAAAGUCAAAAGAUAUCCUUCAUGUAGAUCCAUCAGUUGUUUAUUUUUCUACAUAUGGUUUAUAUCUCUUUAUAAAUACAUAAAUAUAUAUGUAUAUACACAUUUUUUGCUAAACCAUUUGGAAGUAACUUGUGGAUAUCAUGACACUUCAGGCUUAAAUGCUUCAUGUGUAUCUCUUAAGAACAAGGAUGUUGUCAGACUCAGAAAAAUUCAACAUUGAUAAAAUUAUCUAAAAUACUGUCCUAACAAUAUCCUUUAUAUCUUUUUAUUUGUUUUGAUGCAAGAUGCAGUCAAGAAUCAUGCACUGUAUUUAGUUACCAUGCCCCUUUAGGCUUUUAAAAUCUGGAGUAGCAACUUCCCAUCCUUUUCUUUUAAUUUUUCAUAAAAUUGGUAUUUUUGAUUAUUUCAGGCAGUUGUCCUACAUAUAUCUCACAAUCUGAACUUGUCUGUUUUCACAAGAUUAAUUUGAACAUUUUUAGAAGGAAGACUUCAUAGGUGGUAUUGUGCCCUUGCUCUUGUAUCACGUCAGGAGGCUCAAAAUGCCAUUUUGUCCUAUUUAUUAUUGAGGAUAUUUUGCUUGUUGACUUUGUUUAAACUGUUUUAAAGAGCAGUUUUAAGUUCACAGCAAAAUUGAGAGGAAGGAACAGAAAUUUCCCAUAUGCCUCUCUGCCCCUACACAUGCAUAACCUUCUCCAUUAUCAACAUCCUGUACCAGAGUGGUAGUUUUGCACAGUUGAUGAACCUACAUUGGUACAUCAUUAUCACCCAAAGUCCAUAGUUAUAUUGUUCACUCUUGAGCAAUAUACAUUCUUGGUGUUAUACAUUCUAUGAAUUUGGACAAACGUAUAAUGACAUAUAUUCAUCAUAUGGCAUAUUUUCAAUGCCUUGAAAAUCCUCAGUGCUCUACUUCUUCAUCCCUCUCCCUCAACCCCUGGCAACCACUGAUCCUUUUGCUAUGUCCAUUGUUUUACCUUUUCUAGAAUGUUCUGUAGUUGGGAUCAUACAGUAUGUAGCUUUUUCAGAUUGGCCUUUUUCCCUUAGUAAUAUGCCCUUAUGAUUCCUUCAUGUCUUUUCAUGGCCUGAUAGCUCAUUUCUUUUCAGUUGUGAAAAAUAUUCCAUUGUC